GUUUAGUGGCAAACGGGUGAGUAACACGUGGGAACUUACCCUUCAGAGUGGGACAAGCACUGGAAACGGUGUCUAAUACCGCAUACGCCCUUAGGGGGAAAGGAGCAAUCCGCUGAAGGAGAGGCCCGCGGCAGAUUAGGUAGUUGGUGGGGUAAAAGCCUACCAAGCCGAUGAUCUGUAGCUGGUUUGAGAGGAUGAUCAGCCACACUGGAACUGAGACACGGUCCAG
rnacentral:rRNA from 1 species